GCACAAUCCAAACUUGUUUCUAGAAUAGUGAGGCGGCGAAACCCUCCCUGGCUGCCCAUCUCCCAGCUCACGGCUGAAGUGACCUCAGUGGAUUCAUGGAGGAGCCUCCAGCAAGAAUAGAAGCUUCUUGGGCUCAGGAGCCUCAGCCUGAUGCGCUGCUCUGACCACUGCCUCUGGAACGUCAGGUGCUUAGUGAAUAUUUGCUGCAUGAAGACGGGUCUGCUGUGAAGAAUGAGCUUGGGGGAAGGAGUAGAAAAGGAAAGGAGCAUGAGGAGGACUGGGACAUCACCUGAAGGAGAGCACGCUGGGCGCCCUCCAGUACAUAGCUGUAUAUACUUUUUAGUUGUGGGUCCUUCUAGCUGUGGUACGUGGGACGCCGCCUCAGCAUGGCCAGACAAGAUGCGCUGUGUCCACACCCAGGAUUCGAACUGGCAAAACCCUGGGCUGCCAAAGCAGAGCACACGAACUUAACCACUCGGCCACGGGGCCGGCCCCAGUUGGUAUCAUUUUGCUGAAACAAAAUCACUCUUCACACAAGAAUAUAGUACAGCUGGCCCCUGCCUGGCAUGUCCCGGCCACGGCUGUAAAAGGUCAGUUUUUCUGCUGCUUUUCUCGUUCAGACUUUAUCUUUAUGUGAACAGGCCAAGGCACAAGGUCCGUUGAUGCUGAGCCUUCACUGGA
rnacentral:lncRNA from 1 species